AUCAUUCAUAAUGGGUGAGAAGAAGAGUAAGAAGAAUGAAGGAGGAGAGAAGAAGAGUAACAGUGGAGAAGUAGUGCAGAAGAAGGAAGGAGGAGAGAAGAAGAACGAUGGAAACUUAACUGUGGUUUUGAAAUCGGAUUUUCAUUGUGAAGGUUGUGUUACUAAAGUUGUUAAAGCGAUUAAAAGCGUUGGAGGUGUGGAGAAAGUUACGUGCGAUGCCGAUUCGAAAAAGUUGACGGUUAUCGGAAAAGUCGAUCCGGUGAUGUUAAAAGAGAAAGUUGAACAGAAAACACACAAAAAUGUUGAACUUGUCUCGCCGGUACCAAAAAAGGACGGCAAAGGAAAAGGAGGCGGCGGUGGAGACUCCGCCGGCGGUGCAGGAGAAGAGAAGAAGAAGCAGAACAAGGAAAAGGACUCAAAGGAGAACAAAGGAGGAGAAGACAAAAAGACCAAAGAGAAAGAGCCUCCAAUCACCACAGCCGUGCUGAAGGUUCAUCUCCAUUGUCAAGGAUGUGUACAGAAAAUCUCUAAAAUUGUCACCAAAUGCAAAGGAUAUAAGGAAAUGAAAAUAGACAAGCAGAAGGAUUUGGUGACAGUUACAGGGUCGAUGAACACGAAAGAGCUGGUGGAGCUGUUGAAGAAACAUUUGAAGAAGGAAGUUGAAAUAGUGCCGCAGAAGAAGGAAGGCGGCGGAGAUAAUAACAAGAAAGAGAAAGGCGGAGAUAAUAAUAAGAAAGAGAAAGGCGGUG
rnacentral:misc_RNA from 1 species